UACGGAGGGUGCAAGCGUUGUUCGGAAUCAUUGGGCGUAAAGCGCGUGUAGGCGGCUUGGCAAGUCAGUUGUGAAAGCCCGGGGCCCAGCCCCGGAACUGCAUCUGAAACUGCCUGGCUAGAGUCCCGGAGAGGAAGGCAGAAUUCCCGGUGUAGGGGUGAAAUGCGUAGAUAUCGGAAGGAACAUCAGUGGCGAAAGCGACUGCCUGGUCCAGCAUCGACGUUCAGGCACGAAAGCGUGGGGAGCAAACAGG
rnacentral:rRNA from 1 species